AGUUAAUUAGCUUAGGGUAAGCAUAUGUUUUGAAAACAUAAAAUAGUAGUUCAAAUCCACUAUUAACUU
rnacentral:tRNA from 1 species